rnacentral:lncRNA from 1 species
CCACCUGGCGCCCGGGGCCGCGAGCGAGCUCAGCCAGGCCGCCCGGGAACUUUUUUCCUCGCGCUCUCGUUCUCCUUCUCCCCCCGCGCGUCGCCCGCCCGUCCGCUCUUCCUGUGCGGAGGGGAUCGCAUUUCCCCGCGGCACCCGCGGACACCAGGCAGGCCCGGCCGGGUGUGCGGCCAGGGCCCGGUCCCCGCGCCGCCCGCUCCCCGCGCCCCCGGGCGCCGCCCCCGCCCGCGGCUGGGCUCCGAGAGGCGAGUGGGAGAGCGAGGGCGGCGAGGGCUAGAGGCGAGCCGAGCAGGCCGCCCCUGCCCGCGGCCCGAGCGCCGGCGCGAGGAGGGGGCGCCGCGGCCCACCCUCCUUCCUGCCUGGCCGCGGGCCGGCCGGGCCGCCGCGACCGGACCCCCAUGGCCACCCAGGCCUCCGGGCCGCGAAGUCGCAGCGCCAGACCCAGGGCCCCCGAGUGAGCGCGGGCGCCGAGGAUCUCAUCUGGCCACCGCGUUCUGGAAGAGGCAAGGGGGAGAGCGUGCGCGAGAGAAGGAGAGAGACGGCGGGGGAAAGGGAGACGGCGAGACGCGCAGCGCCGGCGCCCGGGAGACCCAGGAGGAGCCCGCAGGGGUCUUCUGGGGUGGCCAGGCCAGCGAGUCAGCUGGGGGAAGCUGGACGCCGGACCGGCAGAUGCUCUGCUCGGAAAGACUCCCCCAACCCACCCCGGCUCCUUUCCUGACCCAGGAUUCUGCUUUGGGGGCAGGGGCAGGUUAGACCCCCGCCUGGGUCCCGAGCCCUAAAAUCAUAACCAGAUGGGCUCGUGGGUGUUGCCUGCCCCAGCCCUCUCCUGCAGAGUUGGGGAGGGGCUGGCCAGGAGCGACAGGGCUUCGUCCCCCAGUACGGGGGGUUGGGGGUGGUGAGCUGUGCCCUUCCGUGGCCGUGGGACUGCAUCUCUAGCCCCAUUAGUAUGCACUCCCUCACUCUGGGCCACGUAAUCUGUUUAUGCACCUAUGAUAUCAAAAACGGGAGGCAGGUGCUGCUGUCUUUCGUUCCUGAGAGUCAGAGGAGGGGACGUUUUAUGUCUAUGGUGGCUUGGCAGCCCCUAAUCGACGUCUGCUGGAAGGAACAGACAGAUUCCAGAUGGCGUGGCAGUGAUCGAGGAGGUGUGUGUGCAUGCGUGUGUGCGUGUGUAUGAGCAUACAUAUGUCUGUGCGUGCGCUCAGGCGGCCUCCCUGGGGCAGGGGCAAACCCUCCUCGGUCCCCAGCAUGGCUGGGUCACGCUUGAACAUGGCUGAGCAGGGACUAGAUUACAGGAUCCAGCAGUCCCUGGGGGACAGGGGAGCAGGAAUUGCUCUGCUAAAUGCUUUUGAGCUGUCAGGAAGGGCUGGGCGUGGUGGGUGGGGGGCA